UUUGAUUUCUUCGGAAUGAAGAUUUUGUGACUGAGUGGCGGACGGGUGAGUAACGCGUGGGUAACCUGCCUCAUACAGGGGGAUAACAGUUGGAAACGACUGCUAAUACCGCAUAAGCGCACAGGGUCGCAUGACCUGGUGUGAAAAACUCCGGUGGUAUGAGAUGGACCCGCGUCUGAUUAGCCAGUUGGUGGGGUAACGGCCUACCAAAGCGACGAUCAGUAGCCGACCUGAGAGGGUGACCGGCCACAUUGGGACUGAGACACGGCCCAAACUCC
rnacentral:rRNA from 1 species